rnacentral:lncRNA from 1 species
UGUUCAAACCAUAUGUAAUUGUAAUUGAAUGGAAGUUAAACAUCUGGAAACCGUUAGGAUUGAAUAGCAAUGAAAGGCAGGAAGCACAAGACUAUGGAAAGUGAUUUUGAACAACCAGGUGGUCCCAAAGAUAACCAAUUGUUUAGAGCCUAGAGGAAAGGGAAGAACCCACAUCUACCAUGAAUGAAUAAAUGGCGACCUGGAAGCAUACUUCUGGUAGCAAUGGGGACACGGGUCAAAGGGGACUUGAGGUUAUCAGCUUUCAGAAUGAAGACACAUAAUCCCUAUUAGAGUGGAAGACUUAAAAUCGAGUUUGAGACCCACCUUCUGAAACUGCAGGCUCUUGGGAGCCUGAUUUCCGGUGAAGAGUGUUGCUGCUUUGCAUUUUUCACACUUGAACACAGUGAAGAAGAUGAACAUUAAUUAGGAUUAUAGUGCCA